rnacentral:rRNA from 1 species
CCGCGGUAAUACGAAGGGUGCAAGCGUUACUCGGAAUUACUGGGUUUAAAGGGUGCGUAGGCGGCGUGCUAAGUCAGUGGUGAAAGACGGUGGCUCAACCAUCGCAGUGCCGUUGAUACUGGCGCGCUUGAAUGCGGAUGAGGUAGGCGGAAUGUGGCAAGUAGCGGUGAAAUGCAUAGAUAUGCCACAGAACACCGAUUGCGAAGGCAGCUUACCAAGGCGCGAUUGACGCUGAUGCACGAAAGCGUGGGGAUCGAACAGG